rnacentral:rRNA from 1 species
GACGAACGCUGGCGGCGUGCCUAAUACAUGCAAGUUGAGCGAUGAAGAUUGGUGCUUGCACCAAUUUGAAGAGCAGCGAACGGGUGAGUAACGCGUGGGGAAUCUGCCUUUGAGCGGGGGACAACAUUUGGAAACGAAUGCUAAUACCGCAUAACAACUUUAAACAUAAGUUUUAAGUUUGAAAGAUGCAAUUGCAUCACUCAAAGAUGAUCCCGCGUUGUAUUAGCUAGUUGGUGAGGUAAAGGCUCACCAAGGCGAUGAUACAUAGCCGACCUGAGAGGGUGGUCGGCCACAUUGGGACUGAGACACGGCCCAAACUCCUACGGGAGGCAGCAGUAGGGAAUCUUCGGAAAUGGACGGAAGUCUGAACGAGCAACGCCGCGUGAGUGAAGAAGGGUUUCGGAUCGGAAAACUCUGUUGGUAGAGAAGAACGUUGGUGAGAGUGGAAAGCUCAUCAAGUGACGGUAACUACACAGAAAGGGACGGCUAACUACGUG